rnacentral:antisense_RNA from 19 species
CUUGAUCGACCCCAGCCACAGCGGUCGGUCCUCGGGGCGGCCCUGGCCGUAGGUGGCCAGCAGCGCCUGCGCCUC